GGCCUCCUGCCAUAGUUUUUCAAUGCCGGGCAAGAUGGCGGCCACACAGGAGCGGUGUUAUUGCCAGUGGUCAUAAAGGGAGCAUUUUAUUGAAAAAUCGAAACCAAGUCAGACGUCACAUUGUGCUUGUUCCACGCUUCGACGCCUGUUUGGGCGGGCAUUUUUUGUUUUUUUCUUGAAAACACGCUUUGACCCACCUCAACAUGUUCACGUUGUAGCUCGCGGACAGCAGUCUACCAGCUAGCCUAGCUCGCUAGCCGUAAACCCAAGCCGCCGUCAAGUGGAGAAUGGGGGAAAAGCUGGAGCUCAGGCUCAAAUCUCCGGUUGGAGCUGAAGCCGCUGGCUACCCUUGGCCCUUACCGGUUUACGAUAAACACCACGAUGCUGCCCAUGAAAUCAUCGAGACCAUUCGGUGGGUGUGUGAGGAGAUUCCGGACCUCAAGCUGGCAAUGGAAAACUAUGUGCUCAUUGACUAUGACACCAAGAGUUACGAGAGUAUGCAACGACUGUGUGACAAAUACAACAGGGCCAUUGACAGCAUUCACCAGCUGUGGAAAGGGACCACCCAGCCCAUGAAGUUGAACAAGCGCCCUUCCAACGGGCUCCUCCGACACAUCCUCCAGCAGGUGUACAACCACUCGGUGACCGACCCGGAGAAGCUCAACAACUACGAGCCCUUCUCGCCCGAGGUUUACGGAGAGACCUCCUUCGACCUGGUGGCGCAGAUUAUCGACGAGAUGGAAAUGAUGGAGGAUGACACCUUCGUGGAUCUCGGCAGCGGCGUGGGGCAGGUCGUGCUGCAGGUUGCUGCGGCGACCAACUGCAAACACUACUACGGCGUAGAGAAAGCAGACACUCCAGCAACCUAUGCAGAGUCCAUGGAUAAAGAGUUUAAAAAGUGGAUGAAAUGGUAUGGGAAGAAACACGGGGAGUACACUCUGGAAAGAGGAGAUUUUCUGUCCGAAGAAUGGAAAGAAAGGAUCGCUACCACAAGUAUUAUUUUUGUGAAUAAUUUUGCCUUUGGUCCAGAGGUAGAUCACCAACUGAAGGAACGUUUUGCUAACAUGAAGGAAGGUGGAAAAAUUGUAUCCUCCAAACCAUUUGCACCGUUAAACUUUCGAAUAAACAGCCGAAACUUGAGCGAUAUAGGCACAAUAAUGCGUGUGGUCGAGCUCUCGCCGCUGAGAGGCUCCGUGUCCUGGACGGGAAAGCCGGUCUCCUACUACCUGCACACCAUAGACCGCACCAUACUUGAAAACUACUUUGCCAGUCUAAAAAAUCCUAAACUCAGGGAAGAGCAAGAGGCAGCCCGGCGACGUCAGCAGAAAGAUACUAAGGACAGCAAAAGCAAUAGCACCACACCCACCAAAACUAGGGACCAAAACAAGCAGGAUUCCUGUGGGGAGGAGGAGCGUCUCCCUUUGGUGCCUGUGACCAAGCCCCCCGCCAAACCCCGGCAAACAAAACUGCUGGCCAAGGGUCGCAAGCUGAACAACAAGAAGAGGGGUCGACCCAAGAAGGCGGCGCCGGCUGCCGACAAGAAAAAGACCCAGAGCGCGUUGGAUCUGCUGCACGCCAAGACCCUUUCUGCAGCGCCACCUCAGGAUGCAUACUUGCAACCGCGGAGUCCCUUCUACCAACUACCUCCAAAGCUUCAGCACUAUCCAGCCAAUCAACUGCUGCUGAGCCCAACCCCUCCCGGUCUGCAACACUUGCUAGAUAGCAUCAAAGUUCAAUACCUCCAGUUUAUGGCCUACAUGAAGACUCCUCAGUAUCAAUCCAAUCUGCAGCAGCUUGUAGAGCAGGAGAAGCAAAAACACAGGGAUUUGUCCGUGCAGGCGGAGCAGCUCCAUUCCAUCUGUCAGACUCACAAGGACAAAAUCAAAGGUCUCUUUCAGAACAAACUGGAUGAGCUGGGAGUGAAAGCUCUGACUGUGGAGGACCUGCUGCAGGCGCAGAAGGAGAUAUCGGCCCACAACCAUCAGCUGAAAGAGCAGACCAAACAGCUUGAGCGAGACAUGGCUUUGCUGCGAGAUCACAGCGUGCUGCUGCUAAAGUCUCGAUGUGAGGAGCUGAAGUUGGAUUGGGGCUCGUUGUGUCUGGAGAGUCUGCUGAAGGAGAAGCUGGCCCUGCGGAGACAGAUCUCUGAGAAGCAGAGGCACUGCUUGGAAUUGCAGAUCAGCAUUGUGGAGCUGGAGAAAAGUCAAAGGCAACAGGAGCUUCUUCAGCUCAAAUCAUACAGCCCUCAUGAGGGCUCCCCGUACCGCAAGAACCAAGAAUCCCGUUCGUCCGCCGACAUGGACGCCUCCAAGUUCGGCCUGUCAUCAGUCCCAGCUGUCAAUGGCAUAAGCCCAGAACGCGCUCUCAACGGUACCGGCUCGCCCUCUUUCGAGCGCGGGAACACCAAGACGGAGCUUCUUUCGCGCUAUCUGCCAAUCUCUCCUGACCACGACGUUGCGGCAGCCAUGCCCGAGGCUCGACAGAGGCAGCACGUCUCCCACGCUCUUCCCGACUACACGCGCUUCUCCCCCGCCAAAAUUGCCUUGCGCAGGCAUCUCAACCAAGAACCCACAGCCGCCGGCCACUUGAGAGGCCCCGGGCUGCCCACGCACAGAGGGGAAAUGGGUGGCCUUAACUCUCCUCUCGGAGCCAAGCAGGGCAGCCCUUCCCCUCAUGCAUUGGAUGCCCAGAAUACUCCAAAAAGCACUGAGAGGGGUGGAAAAGAGAAGAGUCCAUCUGUUCCGGCAGACAGCAGUAUCACAAGCCUUCCAAUAAGUAUUCCACUGAGCACUGUUCACCCAAGCAAACUUCCAGUCAGCAUUCCACUCGCCAGCGUGGUGCUGCCCAGUCGUGCUGAGAGACUGAGAAGCACUCCUAGUCCUGUCUCUCAGACCAGCCAAGUUAAUGGAUAUUCAUCUAGCUCAGGGCUCAUGAAUGGAGGUCCCCACCCAGAGGACCAAAAUGGUGCUUCUUCAUCGCCUCCACACACAAACACGCCUCUGGCGGGACCCAUGAGCAGAGGAGGUCCAAUCCAGAGCCCCCCACUCAGCACCGGAGGGGUUCUUCAUUAUGCAGACGGACCCCCGAGGAUCAUUUCAGAAGACGGCCAGGAACGCCAAGAGACCGAGUCGGACACUGAGCCCCAGGACAAUGAACUGCGGAGGAGAAUCUUUUUCUCUUCUGCCUCCUCCUCCUCUUCCUCAUCAUCGGGCAGCGGUGGAUUGCGCCUCCACCUUCACGCCGGCAGCUCCACCAAGCAGGGAUACCACAGUAACCACGGAAACCCCAACCAUCAGUCACCCGGCACGCAGCGCGCACACACGCCCCCCACGCACACGUCGGCAUCGUCACACUCCACGCACGGCCUCGCUCCUCAAGACGGACGCAAGCGAGGGAGGCGGAAGCGCGGCUCCACGGGGGCCGUCGCUGCCACCGGCUCACCAAAGAGGAGGUCCUUCCCCGGCGUCAGUGCAAACAACCACUCCUCCGGGUCCCCACUCAACAUUAAUUCCAUGGUGAACAACAUCAACCAGCCCCUGGAGAUCGCGGCCAUCUCCUCGCCGGAGCAAUCGAGCCGCAGCCCCAGCGUGCCAACCCCGAACCAACCUCCAAUUCUGAAGCGGGAGCGUCCCCUGGAGGUCAACGGCACUGCUCGUUACUCCUCCGCCCCCAGCACUGAUGAUGAGGACUCAGGAUACCCGGUUGAUACCACCAACUCACGGAUUGAAAGGAAAAUUGCUACGAUAUCCCUGGAAAACAGAGAUGGAGCCAGUCGACUUGGAGAUGGUGAUAGAGGCAGGAAAUCAGGCAGCAGCAGCGGUAACAGCACAGGCAGCGAGGCCUCCUCCUCCUCCUCGUCAUUGUCCUCCACAAGCAAAUGGAAGUCAACCUUUUCACCCAUUUCGGACCCCAAGCAACCCAACUCCGACCUGAGGCAAGGGGGCUCUCCGUUUGCUAUGGGAGGCUCAAACUCGGACGCUGAUUACAAACAACACCAUCAACAGCCCAGGAAGGGAAGCGACGGAGAGUUAUCCAGCUACACGAAUCCCAACCCUUUCCUCAGCCAAGAAGCCAACAACAGAAGCACUGGUAGCGGAGGAGGUCAGGCGGGCGGCAGUUCAGACCCCCGCCAGGUUUUACAGAAGCAGAAGGCCCCUCGGGACUGGGAGCUAAAGACGAGCGGCGGCCACUCAAGUCAGAACAUUUUCAUAGCUGCGGCCGCCAGCAGCGGCGCGGGCAUUCUGAGCGGCAAAAUCGGCGGCAGCCCCGUCACCGUUUCGACGGGAUCUUCCGUGGGUCAGUACCUGGGCUCUCAGUUCCCACUCGGAGGGGCCUCGGUCUUACAGUCGUUGUUCGGGGCUCAGACGGGAAGCUCCGGCGCGAGCGCCAACACACGGCUGGUCAACGGACACUCUGGCCUGGGCAGCUUCUCUAGCGCUGGGCUUGCAGGCGGGGCAGCAGGAGGUACCUUUCACCACGCGGUUCCCUCUGUGUCCUCGCAUCAUCAGUUUGGGGCGUCGCUGCCCCCUUCUGGAGGCCUUGGCUCUCUGCUCAGUCUCUCCUCCUCGCAACCCGCUUCCGCGCCCUCGCCUCUCCCUCCCUGCCCGUCGCAGGCCCAGCAUAGUCGCACCCAGUCGGUGCUGCACAGCCCCUCCCCUCUGCCCCCUCCGCCGCCCCUGCACAGCGCCCCCUCCUCCACAGCGCCACCCCCGCCCGUCAACCCCCCAUCGCGUCUCCCGCAUUCCUCGCUUCAUCACCAGAGGGUGCACACCCUCACUGUCUCCUCCUCUUCCUCGUCUGUCGUUCUCUCUGCCACCUCUUCUUCCUCUUUGUCGUCUUCCGCGUCUCGCCCAUACGCAGUCCACUACUCCCCCCGCUUGCCCCCGCCACCGCCACCUCCCGCCAGCAGCUCAGGUGGUGGCGGGAGUAUGCGGAGGACUCAGCAUGGCAUCUUCACCACCACCACCCCGCUCCCCGGCUCCCGACCGAGAUAGGUUGUGGGGGUGAGGGAAUAGGGGGAAGGUGGUUUUGCGGGCAAUCAGAGAAAGAGAGCGAGAGAGAGAGACAGAGGGAACAAGAAAGAGACUUAUAGGGAGUCACUGUUCUAAAUGAGCAAGGUAAUUGCUGAAACCUACCUCAACAUAAAAAAAAAACCUAUGCAAACGUUCAAGUGUGGACCCAAGGCACUCUGCUCCUCACUCACUGGUGCUUUAAUACGUCGUCUAUACUACCAAGACCGUCUCCAAGACCAGCCUCUGUACUGGGACUUGCAUACACACACGCACACACACACAAACAUGCUGCAGUGAUCAUCAUGAGCAGAAUUCAAAGGAACCGGUUGUGUUUAAAUGUCAAUUGUUGUUGGAUCCAUCUUUUUUAGAUAGCAGUCAGAAAUGAAUUAAAACAGCAAGCACACAACUUCUCUUUUGAGGAAGCAACUUCCUAUAUGACCCGUCCAUUGAUUUCUGCUCAGCCCUCACUAGCAUGUUUUUUUUUUUCUUUCUUACAUCUGACCUAUGAAACAAGAUGAGGAAAUUCAUGUUUUAAGUCCACACUGGAUAACAACGUGCCGUUGCAUUUGUAGCAUAAUGCUUUCGUGUCAGGAUCCACCCAUCUUUACAUUAAAAAAAAAAAGAAAUCUGGCUGCUUUAAGCUCGCAGAGCUCUUAAUUUCCUAACUGGAUCAAAGCAAUUCCGCGUUUCCUUUUCUCCUCGGUAACAUCAGACUUUUAACAUAUCGGUGGAGAUGACUGAUGUCUAAAAAAAAAAAGCGUUUACUUCAACAUCCGUUCAUAUCUGCCUUGUUCUGAAACAUUGAAGGCCUGAACAUGAAUCGAUAUUCUGCUACACAAUGGUGCUCCGUGUUCGCUCUCUGUGGCACUGCUGUCGAGUUAAGUGAAGCUAAAUCCAGGUAGAUAAUACAAAUAAUAAUAAUGACAGGAAAAAAACAGGCACUGCAUGUGUUUCCGUAUUUAUUAUUAUUACAUGUUUUUCUAAGUGGCACUACUUUGACAACUUCUCAAAGCAGGAUGUUUUUAACCUCUUCUUACGAUGAACUUUGUAUAUUUAUUUGUGCUGCUGGGUGCUGCGGAUGAACACCGAGGUUUUACGACUCUAAAAUGCGUACACACACAAACAAACAAACACACACACACACACACACACACACUGGGAAAAUCUUUUUACCGUUUGCAGCAUCUAACUACUGGACUACUUCACACCUUUAUUUUUGUGUUGUCUUUUUUGUGUUUGUACUGUGAAUAUGAUUAAUUCUCUUGAGUGUACAGUUGUUAGAUUUAUAUAUUUAUGCCCCCCCUCCCCCCUUUUCUCUUUUUUUUUUUCCUCCCUGAAAUGUGUUGUACAAUGCAAUAUAGUAUGUGACUGUCAGAAAACAAUGGUGCUAAAUUUGGACCGUGCCUGAUACUAUUUAUUCUUCCAGUGAAAAAGCAUCCCCCCCAAAAAAACAAAGGCGACACAGAGUGCUGUAUACGGGGAUUUUUUUUUGUAAAUUCCCCUUUUUGGCCUUUAAUUUCUUCUAUUUAAUAUUGUAUUGGAGUGUACAACACUUUUGGAUAAACAACAUUCAGUGAAAACAAAAAAAAAAACACUGUUUUGUACAAAAGCGCCAACGCAAAGCUAUAUUUAAUAUGUAAUUAUGUAUGUUUAAAUCUAUAUAUAUGAGGAAAAAAAAAUCUAUCGGUGCUGCAUUGUGAUUCCCACAUUCAGUCUUCAGCCACCACAUGACCUUAACAAACAUGGCGGCACACAACGUGCCCAGGUGCUGUGGCGGAGCGACCACGACAGGAUGUUUUCCUGUACUUUUUUUGUUGUUUUGUUUUCUUAAACUCUGCAGGAAAAAAACAAACAGACGGUGCUUCUCUUUUUAAACAUAAAAUUGAACAAUUAAUGGUGCAAACAAAGCGACGUGUCUUACAGAUAAAGCCCGCUUGUAGAUUUGGUGGGUACUGCCAGAGCCGCGCUUGUUUUGGAGUGUGUUCGUGACUCCUGUUUGAUCGCGAUUGCUGACUGGUGUGGUGGUGAACCGGUGGUCCGUAGACCACAGAAAUAGAACCCAGGAAUACUCAAUGCUCAAAAAAAGUUUGUUGGGCUUUUGGUGGAAAUUAGGGGUUCCCCACCACAUUGUAGUCUGUUUGUAACCAGCACUGAGUCUUUUUUUUUGGGGUUAAAUCAUCGUGUCAUUUCUGUCAUGUCUCUGCGGUCUUACAGAUUCCUGUCCUGUUUGUAGAAAUGCUAGUCAGUCAAGACAGCUUGGUGCUACUUCACAUAAAAAGAGGACGUUUGCAGCUCAUCGUUCAAAAACCGUGACGCUUCUGCCAUUGUUUCCCUCUCGCCGGGCAGCUUUUCAGGAUGUGCAAGUGAGAACCUGCUUUUUAUCGCAGCUUUUUUUUUGUAACUCAGCCAAACCAAAGGGAUGGUGCUUGUUUCUAUACCAUUUCAAAUUUGUUAGACAUUCAAAGGGUGUCAGAAUUUUGUCAUGUUUUUGUUUUACAAAUAAAGAUUAAAAUAUAUAUUAAAUGAUGUAUUUGACAUUUAUAAGCCGCCAUUUUCCCAGUAUGUGGGCUUCUUAUAAGCUUAUUAAACAAGCCAAGUAUAGACAAAAUAAUAUAAGAAAAAUUCAACUGGAAUUUAUUUUCGAUUAGAUUUUAAUUUGGAUAAUUGUUUUCAUCGUAGUACUCGUAUCACCUUUAAUUAAAACAUCUAGCUGAAAUGAACUAAUUUUCCCUUUAUUUGCUAUCAGUCUGCUGCACCUCCCUAAGCAAAUUUAAAAUUAGUCAUAUUCAAAUAUUUUGGCGGCACCAUUAAAAAAAGACAUCCUUGUGCGUGAAAACAAAUUUUGUUCUGUUUAUUUUGGUUAUGCAAGACUGCUUCUAAAUGACUGUCAAGGAAUGAUCACAUUCCAGUAAUUGGAUGAAACAUCACCAUGCAUGUGAAUAGCCAACCAUUGCUUCAGAGCAAUCAUACCAGCCAAACACGCUCUCAAAUACAAUUUGAUCGGCUUUUAUUAUUCAACUCUAAACUAAUUCCUGCCAAAGGUCUUAACUCAGGAACUUUUUCUCAUGCAUCUCCACACUAGGUCCCUUUCUACCUUCAAUGACAAUCUUCUAUUAAAAAAAUUAAUUAAGCCGGCCUGUGGGCACUUUUUGGUUCUCACUGGCACAUCCGUCAAACCUUAGAAAGCUCCGCGAGUUAGUGUAACGUCAAACUUAGAAAUGGCGUCGACUUUUUCCACGUGGUGGUCCUGCACUUUUGUGUGUUGACUUUUUUUGUGGGGUGGGAGCAGCUUGGAGGAGGUGCAAUGAUAGCAAAGCCCGGUUUGUCGUGGAAUCGUGUGUUACUAAAGUGUGGUGACGGUGCUUUUAUCCUAAGAUGUAAUCAUGACAAAUGGAAUAUUUGUGUUGCUUUUUCCCCAACCUCUGCAUUUUAUGAAUAGUAAUAAAAAAAUUCUUAUGAUGUUUGAA